AUGUCGAGCCUCCGCAACUCUCAUCGGAAGACCGACGUCGUCGGCGAGUGCAUUGACAAGCUCCACGAGAAGCGCCGCGCGGUGCGCGAGGAGGGCAUGGAGUCGCUCGUCGCCGCGCUGGAGGGCUUCGUCCCCGUCGACGAGCUCGACUACCGCUACUUCACCGUCUUCGACCGCUGCUGCGCCUCCCUCCGCAAGGGCGGCAGGGAGGCAACGCUCGCCUACCGCGCCAUCGGCCUCCUCGCUCUCACCGUAGGCGCCGCCACCGCCGAUGGCGUCGAUUGCUCCCAGGACAUCCUGGAGAAAGCGCUCCCCGUCCUCGAGGAGACGCUGCAUGCGCCGUCGUCUGGCGCGGCGACCAUGGUGGCCGCUCUCGACUGCCUCGCUGCCGUAACCCUCGCCCGCGCGCGCUGCCCGGAGGACGCGGCGCCGUCUGUGAAGGCCGUGUGGGGCGCGAUCAGGGCAUCAGGCGUGCCGAAGACGUGA
rnacentral:rRNA from 1 species